rnacentral:rRNA from 1 species
GAUGAACGCUGACAGAAUGCUUAACACAUGCAAGUCAACUUGAAUUUGGGUUUUUAACUUAGAUUUGGGUGGCGGACGGGUGAGUAACGCGUAAAGAACUUGCCGCACAGCUAGGGACAACAUUUAGAAAUGAAUGCUAAUACCUGAUAUUAUGAUUUUAAGGCAUCUUAGAAUUAUGAAAGCUAUAAGCACUGUGAGAGAGCUUUGCGUCCCAUUAGCUAGUUGGAGAGGUAACAGCUCACCAAGGCGAUGAUGGGUAGCCGGCCUGAGAGGGUGAACGGCCACAAGGGGACUGAGACACGGCCCUUACUCCUACGGGAGGCAGCAGUGGGGAAUAUUGGACAAUGGACCGAGAGUCUGAUCCAGCAAUUCUGUGUGCACGAUGAAGUUUUUCGGAAUGUAAAGUGCUUUCAGUUGGGAAGAAAGAAAUGACGGUACCAACAGAAGAAGUGACGGCUAAAUACGUGCCAGCAGCCGCGGUAAUACGUAUGUCACAAGCGUUAUCCGGAUUUAUUGGGCGUAAAGCGCGUCUAGGUGGUUAUGUAAGUCUGAUGUGAAAAUGCAGGGCUCAACUCUGUAUUGCGUUGGAAACUGUAUAACUAGAGUACUGGAGAGGUAAGCGGAACUACAAGUGUAGAGGUGAAAUUCGUAGAUAUUUGUAGGAAUGCCGAUGGGGAAGCCAGCUUACUGGACAGAUACUGACGCUAAAGCGCGAAAGCGUGGGUAGCAAACAGG